CACAAAUGCGGUCCCCGCCCUGAUGGGUUAUGGGUUUCACCUUAAGAACAACACCGCUCAAGGACAAGCAGUGAGGGCAUCAGGGCAGCCUACCCCAGAACAGCCGUUCUCUUGUCUGAUGAUGGAUUUGAAUUGAGCUUGGGCAUUAUUGCAAGUAUUGUCUAGUGAUUGUUGAUAUGUUCUCUAAAUAUGUGGAAUGUUUCCCUUGCAGGAAAGCGACUGCACUAUCAGUAGCCAAGACCCUCAUGUGAGACAUAAUACCGAGGUUUGGUAUUCGUAAAUUAAAUUAUUGAGAAUCUCAGAAGCUUAAAUUUAAAAAUAACAUUUAAAAUUCACUGUGCCUUCCACCCAUCGAGUGGGAGUACAGUGGGGAGAAAUUAAUCAAACGAUCAAGAGCAGUCUGAAUAAGGUUAUGGCAGAAACUAAACUUGAUUGAGUAACCACAUUACCUUUUAUUCAUGAAUACGAGGGGAAGAAAAUACCAAGCCACACCAUACAACCAGAUGAUUGGAUGGUGAUAAAAGACUUUUCUGGUCUCCAACACUCCGGUAAGAGUCGCCGAUUGGAACACGUUCAUUGCCGGGAAAUCAGCGCCCCAGUGGAAGCAUGAGGCUGCUCAUUAUACUCAUGGGAACCAUUGCACCUCUGAGUCUUCUCAUCAUGGUUCAACGGUAGGAGCAAAAUAAUGACUGCUCCAGGCGACAACAGAAUUUUAGUUAUUUGUCACUCAGCUUUGAAUAUACAGAGGUUUCAAAUGAAUCAGCUGGCUGGGUCUGCUUACACAUUCCACAUUCCUUACAUAGCAGUCAUCUGAUUGAUGAACAUUUCAACAUGGACGAAUAUUUUUUUGAUGUUCAUUUAGUAGUGUUCCCCAUGUUUGGCAAUGCAUCAGCUGGACAGAGUUCAGACCACAGAUUUGGGAAAAUGCUUCAGCUGAUGCCAGUAGAUGGCAGUGGCUACCAGUCAGUGUGAGAUUCACAGGCACAGGACGUCUUGCUUGGUAGCAAGCUUUGCUGGAAUACCAGAAACAAGCUAAGCGAGCUGAGAGCGACCUGCCACCGCUCAGCAUCCUGCUGCCCCCUCCAUGGGUCCUGCUUCCACUGCUCAGUGUCCUGCUGCCACCUCCAUGGGUCCUGCUACCACCGCUCAGUGUCCUGCUGCCACCUCCAUGGGUCCCACUGCUAUUGCCACUGUGUCAAGUACCUGCUACCACUAUGGGCCCUGUCAUUGCUACGAGUGGAGCUGAUGUUGAGCUGAUUCACUGAGGACGCUUCGGAAGCCCUAGUAACUGUAGAUGGAAAUUUGAUCCUAUAACAUUAGAAUGCACACAAC